GGGGGCCGGACUGCUUGGGGUGAGGCUGGGCAUCGGUCAGCGAGUGGCACUUUCUGACAGAAUUGCCCAUUAAAAUGAGAAAGCAAUCUGCUCCCAGAUACCCUGGCCAGAACUUGAAAAAUGACUGGAAGACUUCAUAAAACUCCUAAUACUCAGAUCCUCCAAGGUUAUACACGUCUCACUCAAUCUCCCAUCUCAAGCUUCACAGAAAACUUGCAUGGAACUGCUCUCCUAACCAUUGACUUUGGCUUCAUUGGGAUGGCAUAACAUCAACGUAACCACCUUGGUUGCGGACUACACCAGCAUGUACAGCUGCUCGGCAGAUACUGGAUAUCUAAGAAAGAAAGAGGGAAAAAAAUAAAGAAGGGAGAAGUAUGAGAUUUUAUCCAUCCAUUCCUGCAUUCCACUCCUUUGCUUGCUUCUCCACAUCUUCCAGCUAGAAAGCUAGGAGUCACAGCCAAACACCAAACAAGUCCACGGACCCAAGUGCUACAUGAAGCAAUGUUUUCCUAGCAGUUCUGGCUUUGUGCUUGCUUCCUGUAUUGGCGGUAGGAUUGCUAUGAAAGUACUCCUGUGGAUACCUCCAGCUUAGCUUGCGGUAAAUCAUGCUACAGAGUAUUUACCUUUGACUCAUCUAUGGUUUUCAGAACUGUUACAGAUUUACUUCCUCAAAAUAUUGAGGCAUAGGCUUCUUUCAAUAAGUGAAAACAUAAGCUUCAAAGAAAUGGCACAUUUCUUUGACUGAAAGCAGUUAACUGACUUGCAGACCAUACCUGACCUUAACAAUAUAUACUUCAAUCAUUUUGCAAAUAUAUUUGCUCACUCCAAAAUUCCCAAACAAUUUGAUAACUUCUAUGACAAAUAUUUUUAUCAGUUCCUUUUAUUGUAUCUGUUUUACAGGUAAAUAAAUUGAAAUAACAUGUCUUUUGCUCUAGGUGCAUAGAUUUAAUAGUGGAAAAUUAAAAGGAAAAAUGGAUCUUUCCUCACAGUGUUUAGACUAACCAAAUCUUCACUAAGAUAUAACAAGAGAGCAAAGAAAGAUCAGGAGCUUCUCCUUGUGAAAAGAGCCUGCAGAUUAUCUUUCACUUACCUGGCCUUCUAUUUACACCAAAGACAAAUAUGUUAGUAAAACAUUUAUGACUUCACUUUUACAGCUUUUACUGUCACCUUUGUCAAUGACAAUUACAGAUAAUUAUUAUCUGAUGGAAAAUAUGGGAGCACUUUGUAAUAAUAAAAGAUUCAAAGAAUUUUACCUUGGACAGUGUGAGGCUGGUUUUUGAAAAGGACACAAUUGUUCUACUGUUGUUUCACAGGUGAUAGCUUGAACUGAAUAAAGUAAAACAGAAACCAAUUAAUGUGUGCUAUUUAGAAAACUGUAAUUCAAAGUAACUGAGUUUAUAAGAAAUAAAUACUAACCUGUAACUUUAGAGACUGUGAAGGAAUUGGCAGAUUGGUAUUUUCUAAACAAGAAAUAAUAGAAAUAGUCAAUAAAUAACAUCUUUUAAUGCUUUAUGUCUUUUAUGUCAUUUUAGCUAGUCAAUUUUUUAUUAGUAAAUAUAGAAGAAAAUUCAAGACAUUGUCUCCUUUGUUAACGAAGGAGACAAUGUCUCCUUCACUUAUUCCUCACUUACGUCUUCUUAACGAAGAAUUAUGUACUAUUGUGCUACACAGAAGCAGAAGUUUGCUGAAACGAUGAAGAGAAGGUAUAGGCUUGGUCCUUUAUUUAUGUAUUAUGUACUAUGUAUUUAUGUAAUAUGUAUUUAAUCCAUAAGGCCUCUAACAUAUUUUUUCUAGCACCUCAAUCACAAAACCAAAACCAAAUUAGACAUUACUGUCAGCUAUGAUACAAUUAUUAUCUGUACCCACAGUAAACAAAAAUGAGUUUGGAUACCUCACUCCUGUGUUCUGAUACUCAGAAGAUAGUGCCAAACACGCUCUGUAGAACAGACACUCGUAUGGUUUUGUCUCAGAUGGCAUAGAAAUACACAGAUUUCAAGUGAUGGGAAAUCAAUUCCUUUCACUUUGAAAAAAAUCUGUAGUUUAAUUACCACUACUUUUGUAAGAAAGUUGACUCCUAAUCCAUCAGUAUCUAUUUGCUUAUCUCUUUGUCUCGAAAAGAUUUUAAAAAGAGAUAAUUGCAUCUUCAUUUUAAGGAGGGGUAAUUUAAACCACAGUCAAAUAAUCUGAUGACCCAAAGAAACACAUUACUUAAUUGACAAUUAAUUCAUUAUUUAAUCAAUUAAUAUCAAUGCCUGAAACAGUGCUUUCUAGGCCUCUGAAUUUAGUCUACCUAGCCAGUGUUUCCUUCUAUUCUGAAUUACGUAAAUCUGUUGACAAGAGAAAUUAUGACAGGUUUUACAGCAUGUGAAAUCAGUUUGCAGAGAACAGAGAGACACAGAGACACAGCAGAAACUAAAUACAUCAUUCAAUAUAAUUCUGUUUUCUUUCAAUACGGUAUUACUCAUACCCUCUUGCAUGUACGCUACUAUUACACAUACACUAACAUACAGCAAUGUACAACUCUCCAGAAUACAUUAAGAUAUAGUGAAGUGUAGUUUGCAGAUAUUAUUAGUAUCUUAGAUUCCAGCAUACUUUAGUUAUUAAUGGAUAUUUAUACAUGGUAGCAGUCAAGCUGAGAGACUCUACUUUUAUGUACUUCUUCUCUGGUUUUGCUUUCAGCAUGUCAGUGAGUAUUUGGAUCUAUUUUCACAUACCAGUCUCUGGAUAAGCACCUGAACAGUGUAGUACAAAGUCCAAAUUAAUUUUCCACAGCAUGCAGUAUUAUUCUGUUUUUGGCCAAUGCAGAAAUUGAGCAAAGUUUUGUGCAAAAUAUCAUAAGUAUAUUAUGGAAUUGUAAUGAAACUAUCAAAAAUGUAAGUAGAGAUGUUGGUUGUAUUACCAGCUUUGUAAUAACAAAUAUAGUAAAUGUAAAAACAUUUAAAAUAAUCUAGUUUAGCGUCAGUGUGUACUACUUUUUUACAAUAAAUCAUUUACAUUUACAAACAAA